GGAUGUGACAGUGACUUCACUGUGACAUCUGUCAACCCAUCAAUCACCAACAUCAAUCCAGGUGAUUUGGUUGGUUAGGUGUGUAUCCACUUCCUCCCUCUAGGCUCCACGUGUAUCACUGUUGAAGCUGCUUUCUCUAGAAUAAAGGAGGACCAGUCUUUGGUCAAGAGUGUAUGAGUAACUUGGUCGCUUGCUAUAAUCUCCAAAGAAGCAUUCAAAGUCCAUUUUUUAUUUUUAUUUAUGUGUCUGUGUAAACAGGACAUGUGGUUUCAAUUGCCUACAAAGGUGGUUGUAAACUGC
rnacentral:snRNA from 1 species